AUAAGCUCUCAGGGGAGGGUGCCUCUACCUUAAGUUCCAAAAAUAGUAUUAAUUCCCUAGUGUAAUUGGGCACUGUAAAUCUUAAUCAACAAAUUUCUCUCUUAAAUUUCCCAAAUUAAGAUUUUUUAGACCAGGGUGCCUCCCUUUUCGGGAGACAACCUCUUAAAGGGACUGCAGCUGACAGCAGGUAACCCCUCAGUGCCGGCCUGGUUGAACCUGCAAGACAAAUGAGCAAUCAAUGACAGUAAAGCCUGAAUGCAAGUUCCUGUUUUCUGCCCAUCCUUAUUGCCGAAGAGUCCUGGGAAUAUGUACAUCUGACCUUGGUAGUUUUCUACCAUGCCUGCUAACUGGUAUAUAAUGCUCUCCUCUUGUUGCAAUA